AGGAGUACCUGGAGGCUCAGCGGCAG
rnacentral:piRNA from 1 species